rnacentral:rRNA from 1 species
GACGAACGCUGGUGGCGCGCUUAACACAUGCAAGUCGAACGGAAAGGCCUGCUUUCCCUUGUGGAUUGCGGGUACUCGAGUGGCGAACGGGUGAGUAACACGUGAGUGAUCUGCCCCCAACUUGGGUAUAAGCCUGGGAAACUGGGUCUAAUUCCCGAUAGGACUGCAGGGUGGUGCCUGUGGUGGAAAACGAUUUUCUAGUGGUUGGGGAUGAGCUCGCGGCCUAUCAGCUUGUUGGUGGGGUAAUGGCCUACCAAGGCGGCGACGGGUAGCCGGCCUGAGAGGGUGGACGGCCACAUUGGGACUGAGAUACGGCCCAGACUCCUACGGGAGGCAGCAGUGGGGAAUAUUGCACAAUGGGCGGAAGCCUGAUGCAGCGACGCCGCGUGGGGGAUGACGGCCUUCGGGUUGUAAACUCCUUUCGACCGCGAGGAAGCCACCUGGUUGGAAGGGUGGUGACGGUAGUGGUAGAAGAAGCACCGGCUAACUACGUG